UACGGGGGGGGCAAGCGUUGUUCGGAAUUACUGGGCGUAAAGGGCUCGUAGGCGGCCAACUAAGUCGGAUGUGAAAUCCCCAGGCUUAACCUGGGAACUGCAUCCGAUACUGGAUGGCUUGAAUCCGGGAGAGGGAUGCAGAAUUCCAGGUGUAGCGGUGAAAUGCGUAGAUAUCAGGAGGAACACCGGUGGCGAAGGCGGGUCUCUGGGAAGUAACUGACGCUGAGAAGCGAAAGCAUGGGUAGCAAACAGG
rnacentral:rRNA from 1 species